GAGUUUGAUCCUGGCUCAGGAUGAACGCUAGCGGCGGGCAUAAUACAUGCAAGUCGAACGGGAUAAGUUGUAGCAAUACGACUUUGAGAGUGGCGCACGGGUGCGUAACACGUAUGCAACUUGCCCUUAACAGGGGGAUAGCUUUCGGAAACGAAAAUUAAUACCCCAUAUUAUUACUUAUAUGCAUGUAUGAGUAAUGAAAGCUACGGCGGUUAAGGAUGGGCAUGCGGCUGAUUAGCUAGUUGGCGAGGUAAAGGCUCACCAAGGCGACGAUCAGUAGGGGGUCUGAGAGGAUGUCCCCCCACACUGGUACUGAGACACGGACCAGACUCCUACGGGAGGCAGCAGUAGGGAAUAUUGGUCAAUGGAGGCAACUCUGAACCAGCCACGCCGCGUGCAGGAUGAAGGCCCUCUGGGUUGUAAACUGCUUUUGUUAGGGAAAAAACCCCUCGAUGCGUUGAGGGUUGAUGGUACCUAAAGAAUAAGGAUCGGCUAACUCCGUGCCAGCAGCCGCGGUA
rnacentral:rRNA from 1 species